GCCCUCCUUUGGCGGGUUCAGACAGUGCCCGGUCAAGGAGGGGAGAAGAGCCCGGAACCGGCCCCAUCUUAAGGAGUGGAGAGGUUAAUAGGCAAGAAGGAAAGGGAGAAGGAAGAAGGAAGAAAGAAGCUUCCCUGUACAGAGACAGACGGAGAGGGGCGCCCCAAAGCCGAAAGAAAUUGGUCAUGGUUACUUGGAGUUAGUGUCAUAACCAGACUGCAGCUGACCCAGUACGCUACCAUCCCUUGGAACUCCACGACUGCAGUGCGCUCCUGCCGACUUCCGGGUUUCCGAAUGCUGGACGCUGCGUCUACCAAGCGAUCAGGGGAAACAGAUGAAGCACCCACUCCUGAAUCCCCAGCCAAUGACUGGUGAGCCAAUGACUUGAUGUAUAAACGUUCCAGCUCUCCUGCCCUUGGGGUGCAGUAACUCUCCGAGCGCAUUUUGCAGGGCGUGUCAAAAUUUCCCCACGGCAUUAAACUCCAGUUACCCUCCUGGUAGCUGGCUUGACAAUCUACCCUUUCUUGGUUGCUUUCCUUUUCUUUCACGUUCUUUUACCUGUU